UGGGGAAUAUUGCACAAUGGGGGAAACCCUGAUGCAGCGACGCCGCGUGAGCGAAGAAGGUUUUCGAAUCGUAAAGCUCUGUCCUAUGAGAAGAUAAUGACGGUAUCAUAGGAGGAAGCCCCGGCUAAAUACGUGCCAGCAGACGCGGUAAUACGUAUGGGGCGAGCGUUGUCCGGAAUUAUUGGGCGUAAAGGGUACGUAGGCGGUCUAUUAAGUCAGGUGUGAAAGCGUGAGGCUUAACCUCAUUAAGCACUUGAAACUGAUAGACUUGAGUGAAGGAGAGGAAAGUGGAAUUCCUAGUGUAGCGGUGAAAUGCGUAGAUAUUAGGAGGAAUACCGGUGGCGAAGGCGACUUUCUGGACUUUUACUGACGCUCAGGUACGAAAGCGUGGGGAGCAAACAGG
rnacentral:rRNA from 1 species